rnacentral:rRNA from 1 species
CUACGUGCCAGCAGCCGCGGUAAUACGUAGGUGGCAAGCGUUGUCCGGAAUUAUUGGGCGUAAAGCGCGCGCAGGCGGAUCAGUCAGUCUGUCUUAAAAGUUCGGGGCUUAACCCCGUGAUGGGAUGGAAACUGCUGAUCUAGAGUAUCGGAGAGGAAAGUGGAAUUCCUAGUGUAGCGGUGAAAUGCGUAGAUAUUAGGAAGAACACCAGUGGCGAAGGCGACUUUCUGGACGAAAACUGACGCUGAGGCGCGAAAGCCAGGGGAGCGAACGGGAUUAGAUACCCUGGUAGUCCACGCCGUAAACGAUGAGUGCUAGGUGUUGGGUCCUUUCCGGGACUCAGUGCCGCAGCUAACGCAUUAAGCACUCCGCCUGGGGAGUACGACCGCAAGGUUGAAACUCAAAGGAAUUGACGGGGGCCCGCACAAGCGGUGGAGCAUGUGGUUUAAUUCGAAGCAACGCGAAGAACCUUACCAGGUCUUGACAUCCCUCUGACCGCUCUAGAGAUAGAGUUUUC